rnacentral:rRNA from 1 species
AACGAACGCUGGCGGCAUGCCUAACACAUGCAAGUCGAACGAGACCUUCGGGUCUAGUGGCGCACGGGUGCGUAACGCGUGGGAACCUGCCCUUAGGUUCGGAAUAACUCCCCGAAAGGGGUGCUAAUACCGGAUAAUGUCUUCGGACCAAAGAUUUAUCGCCUGUGGAUGGGCCCGCGUUGGAUUAGCUAGUUGGUAGGGUAAAAGCCUACCAAGGCGACGAUCCAUAGCUGGUCUGAGAGGAUGAUCAGCCACACUGGGACUGAGACACGGCCCAGACUCCUACGGGAGGCAGCAGUGGGGAAUAUUGGACAAUGGGCGAAAGCCUGAUCCAGCCAUGCCGCGUGAGUGAUGAAGGCCUUAGGGUUGUAAAGCUCUUUUACCCGGGAUGAUAAUGACAGUACCGGGAGAAUAAGCUCCGGCUAACUCCGUG